GAUGAACGCUAGCGGCAGGCCUAAUACAUGCAAGUCGGACGGGAUUGAGAAGCUUGCUUUUCAUGAGAGUGGCGCACGGGUGCGUAACACGUAUGUAACCUACCUUAAUCAGGGGGAUAGCCUCUCGAAAGAGAGAUUAACACCGCAUAAAAUCAAUUUAUGGCAUCAUAGAAUGAUCAAAUAUUUAUAGGAUUAAGAUGGGCAUGCGGAACAUUAGCUAGUUGGUAAGGUAACGGCUUACCAAGGCUACGAUGUUUAGGGGAUCUGAGAGGAUGACCCCCCACACUGGUACUGAGAUACGGACCAGACUCCUACGGGAGGCAGCAGUGAGGAAUAUUGGUCAAUGGGCGCAAGCCUGAACCAGCCAUGCCGCGUGCAGGAAGACGGCCCUACGGGUUGUAAACUGCUUUUGUACCGGAAUAAACCUUUGUAUGUAUACGAAGCUGAAUGUACGGUAAGAAUAAGGAUCGGCUAACUCCGUGCCAGCCGCCGCCGUAA
rnacentral:rRNA from 1 species